AUUGAACGCUGGCGGCAUGCCUUACACAUGCAAGUCGAACGGUAACAGGUCUUCGGAUGCUGACGAGUGGCGAACGGGUGAGUAAUACAUCGGAACGUGCCUAGUAGUGGGGGAUAACUACUCGAAAGAGUGGCUAAUACCGCAUGAGAUCUACGGAUGAAAGCAGGGGAUCGCAAGACCUUGUGCUACUAGAUCGGCCGAUGGCAGAUUAGGUAGUUGGUGGGAUAAAAGCUUACCAAGCCGACGAUCUGUAGCUGGUCUGAGAGGACGAUCAGCCAGACGGGGACAGAGACUCGGCCCAGACUCCGACGGGGGGCAGCAGUGGGGACUUUGGGACAAUGGGCGCAAGCCUGAUCCAGCCAUGCCGCGGGUCUGAAGAAGGCCUUCGGGUUGUAAAGGACUUUUGUCCGGGAGCAAAUACCCAGUGCUAAUAACGCUGGGGGCUGAGAGGACCGGAAGAAUAGGCACCGGCUAACUACGUGCCAGCAGCCGCCGUAACAC
rnacentral:rRNA from 1 species